AGACGACUGAAAGGCAUGUCGAAGAGUCGAAGAAAUUGAUUGAUUUAUUGGAAGAUGAAAAUAAUAAAUUGAAAGCAGAACUCACAAAAAGGUAAUGGAGAACACUGGAAGAACCGUUGUAUGUUCUUGGCAACCUUGCACGCCAGGCUCUUUUCCUCCGCUUUCCCCGAAAAUAGGAGUUGAAAAGUAUAGGAGUACUGUACGAUAAUGAAAACUGAACAAUAUUUCACUUUGUAUUCUAGACCGGGUUUAGAUGAAUGGAGAAAGGCGUGGAAAUAUAAUAAAAAACUUGAAAGAAUUCUGAUGGAAAACAACCUAAGGUGACUUUUACUUUUAGUGAAAUAUUUACAGGACAAUCAAUAAGACAGUCUUUUACUGUUAUUAAAGAUUGUGAGAAUUGCAAAGAGUCGGACUCUUCCGAUUUUUUCCAGGUAUGUAGCUUCCGUACAUAUGCAGUCAUUCACAGCAGCGUGAAAUAUUUAUUGGUUAUCAAAUAUCCUUCAGCCCUUUUUCACAAGUAUAAAAUCGUUUGAUUCACGUUCGGGCACAUUUCGCAUUAUCGGAUCAUUUUUUAAUGCUCUGGCCUUUGGUUCAUUUUUAUGUUACUCGUUUUCAAUCCAUUCUUGCUUUAGUCAGGGCUUUGGUGACACAUGAAGUCGUCAGAGCGAGUGCCUUUCAACUUUGAAAUCGUUGGCUUGGAUUAGUGCUGCGAACAUAGCUACGACUCUUAUCAGUCUUCUUAUGUGAACGCUCCACCGAAAGUCGUGGGUUUUCUCCAACUCCGGUUUGCUCCAACAGGAAAUGUUGACAGGAUGCGUUGGGAUAAUUCUAAACUAACCUUUCCAUCGUAGCUGUGUCCGGUGGUGAGACAUGAGUCAUAUAUACGAUGGCCGCCAGAGGCGCCCAGAAUUGAUCAGGUUGAGUUGUGUCCUUCCACUCCUUCCUAUUCAGCUCAGCUCUCAGCUGCAAGUAUGUAGAUUAUCAGCACACCCCCUAUACCUUCCUGAUUAAUUACAAUACUUACACCUUUUUAGUAUCUCAAGUAGAAGAACUAAGGAACUGAAUGACAAGAAGAAAUCAGUAAAGCAUAAAACUCAU
rnacentral:lncRNA from 1 species